rnacentral:miRNA from 1 species
GGUGGUUCUGCUCAGCAGUCAACAGUGGCCACAUCUCCACCUGCAGCGACUUGAUGGCUUCCGUGUCCUUUUCGUGGG